rnacentral:rRNA from 1 species
GACCCCGCACAAGCGGUGGAGUAUGUGGUUUAAUUCGAUGAUACGCGAGGAACCUUACCAGGGCUUAAAUGUAGUCUGACAGGGGUGGAAACACCCCCUCCUUCGGGCAGAUUACAAGGUGCUGCAUGAUUGUCGUCAGCUCGUGCCGUGAGGUGUCAGGUUAAGUCCUAUAACGAGCGCAACCCCUGCCGUUAGUUGCCAGCAUGUAAUGAUGGGAACUCUAACGGGACUGCCGGUGCAAACCGCGAGGAAGGUGGGGAUGACGUCAAAUCAUCACGGCCCUUACGUCCUGGCUACACACGUGCUACAAUGGCCGGUACAGAGGGCAGCCACACCGCAAGGUGGAGCG